rnacentral:rRNA from 1 species
CACGUAGUUAGCCGGGGCUUCUUGGUCAGGUACCGUCAUUCUCUUCCCUGCUGAUAGAGCUUUACAUACCGAAAUACUUCUUCACUCACGCGGCGUUGCUGCAUCAGGGUUUCCCCCAUUGUGCAAUAUUCCCCACUGCUGCCUCCCGUAGGAGUUUGGGCCGUGUCUCAGUCCCAAUGUGGCCGGCCACCCUCUCAGGUCGGCUACUGAUCGUCGCCUUGGUGGGCCGUUACCUCACCAACCAGCUAAUCAGACGCGGGUCCAUCUCAUACCACCGGAGUUUUUCACACCAGACCAUGCGGUCCUGUGCGCUUAUGCGGUAUUAGCAGUCAUUUCUAACUGUUAUCCCCCUGUAUGAGCAGGUUACCCAGCGUUACUCACCCGUCCGCCGCUCAGUCAUACACGCUUCCAUCCGAAAACUUCCACAUCUAUGCUUCGCUCGACUGCAUGUGUUAAGCACGCCGCAGCGUCAUCCUG